CAGCAGCCGCGGUAAUUCGUAGGGUGCGAGCGUUAAUCGGAAUUACUGGGCGUAAAGCGUGCGCAGGCGGUUUUGUAAGACAGGCGUGAAAUCCCCGGGCUUAACCUGGGAAUUGCGCUUGUGACUGCAAGGCUAGAGUGCGUCAGAGGGGGGUAGAAUUCCACGUGUAGCAGUGAAAUGCGUAGAGAUGUGGAGGAAUACCGAUGGCGAAGGCAGCCCCCUGGGACGUGACUGACGCUCAUGCACGAAAGCGUGGGGAGCAAACAGGAUUAGAUACCCUGGUAGUCCACGCCCUAAACGAUGUCAACUAGUUGUUGGGGAUUCAUUUCCUCAGUAACGUAGCUAACGCGUGAAGUUGACCGCCUGGGGAGUACGGUCGCAAGAUUAAAACUCAAAUGAAUUG
rnacentral:rRNA from 1 species